UAACCAUUCUCAAGCUACACAAUUCCUCGGAAGCGUGUAGCAUGGAACUGAGUGUUCCCGGUAUGAGUGCCUCGGCGCUGUAAUUGGGAGACUUGAAACUGAUCUCGCGGGAGCAGUGGUCAUUAAGGAUCAGCUCGUUGCAGGUGUACUAGUUGGAGGCGUCGCAAGGCGUUUUCAUUCUUAGCACCAUAACGUAACGUUCAGAUCUGACGACUGUCACCGACGAACGCAGGAACUUGGGAUGCGGGCGCAAGCCUAACUCUUAAU
rnacentral:misc_RNA from 1 species